rnacentral:lncRNA from 1 species
AGUUUCCCAGCCGGCCGCGGGGUUGGUAAAAAGAAGAGCUAGCCAACAUGUUAGGGCACCAUCGGGGAUGCACGCAUGAUUUGUACGGAUGUCAGAGAUUGGCACCAACUAACUGUACGUCAUUAGCCGGUUGGAGCAUUGCAUUAGCGAGUACGGGCAGUGUAACAUGCACGCUAAGCGGCCUCGGAAGCCUGGAAAGGGACCUGAUUAGCCAACUGAAAGUGAGAAAUUUAAAAAAUAUAUAGAUCCAUGCAUGUUAGAUCACUCCAUCAGUGGGAUAGCACUUCCAUCGCUCUGUCGAUCCACAGAGUAACUAUAUAUAGUUGCUGAUGCAAUCCAUUUGCUGGUUAAGUGUAUCUAUGGUACGGCUUCUUUUGCUAUUUUUAACAAAAAAGAUUCCCUAGAUUCAUACCUUUAACAUAGGAUCAACAUGGCAUGUUCAGUACACCACGGCACAGCUGUGGUGAAGGCAAUUUGGACAAUAUAGGAAAUAAUCGAUCGAUCUCGGGUUCCUAUUCUUGGUAAUUCUUGGCAUAUUUGCACAACCAAAGUUAUCAUAAUUAACUCUGUUGAGAUAUGUUUUUUUUAGUGCAACCAAACAAUUGAUAAGCAAUGCAAAAAUAAUACUACGACACCACGGGCAUGUUAAUGUUCAGACUAAUGUCUUUUCUGUACUACUGACUUGUGGGAAGAACAACAAGCGUGACGGAAAAACUGGUUGAUAUAACUAUGGCAGAGAUCCACUAAGCACAAAAAAAAAUCCCCACAUCUCUUUCAUCUCCUAAAGACUCUGUGGUAAGAAAAAGAAAAAAAAUACUCCAUUAAAAACACUAGCAGAUCUGUCCGUUGAGAAGGAGAAACAACGUUUUUUCCUUUCUUUCUGUUGACUUUCUACACACUGACCUAGUUUAGUUUGGUUGGAGCAGUAGAUACAAAAUCUACCCAGCUGAGAUUAAUUAAUUAAAUUCUCGUGGAUAUGAAUUUAAAGUCCUAUUUACGUUGUACCUAACAGUCGUCUUACCGUUUAAAUUAAAAAACAAUGAUCCUCCGUACAUCUCUUCCAAAAAAUAAAAUAAUCAAUGACACAUUCCCGUACGUGGACAAAAACACGUGUGUACAUAGUAGAUGGGUAUUAACGUCACAUGCAUGACGUACGUCCGCAGGUAGCCAUACUGUACAGCCCGGCAUAAAAAAAAAAUCUCGUGUGGUUCAGCCAUGCGCGCAUGCAUGAGCCAGAUCUUGCUGCAGCUCGGCCAUACGUACAGAGUAGCUACAUGCUGUCAUGCACCUACACUGUUUGCCUACUCCGCAGUAAUCCCAGAUCAGAC